UACGUAGGGUGUAAGCGUUAAUCGGAAUUACUGGGCGUAAAGCGUGCGCAGGCGGUUUUGUAAGUCAGAUGUGAAAUCCCCGGGCUUAACCUGGGAACUGCGUUUGAAACUACAAGGCUAGAGUGUGGCAGAGGGGGGUGGAAUUCCACGUGUAGCAGUGAAAUGCGUAGAGAUGUGGAGGAACACCGAUGGCGAAGGCAGCCCCCUGGGUUAACACUGACGCUCAGGCACGAAAGCGUGGGGAGCAAACAGG
rnacentral:rRNA from 1 species